CUGGCCGUAAACGAUGAACACUAGGUGUCGGGGGAAUCGACCCCUUCGGUGUCGUAGCUAACGCGUUAAGUGUUCCGCCUGGGGAGUACGCACGCAAGUGUGAAACUCAAAGGAAUUGACGGGGGCCCGCACAAGCGGUGGAGUAUGUGGUUUAAUUCGAUGCAACGCGAAGAACCUUACCAGGGUUUGACAUCCUGCGAACCUCUUAGAAAUUUGAGGGUGCCUUCGGGAAUGCAGUGACAGGUGG
rnacentral:rRNA from 1 species